rnacentral:rRNA from 1 species
AGAGUUUGAUCCUGGCUCAGGAUGAACGCUGGCGGCGUGCCUAAUACAUGCAAGUCGAACGAAGCACUUCGGUGCUUAGUGGCGAACGGGUGAGUAACACGUAGGUAAUCUACCUUACAGACGAGGAUAACGGUUGGAAACGACCGCUAAUACUGGAUAGUAAGUGAUCUCGCAUGAGGACACUUUUAAAGUUCCGUAUGGAACACUGUAGGAUGAGCCUGCGGCGCAUUAGCUAGUUGGUGAGGUAAUGGCCCACCAAGGCAAUGAUGCGUAGCCGGACUGAGAGGUUGAACGGCCACAUUGGGACUGAGACACGGCCCAGACUCCUACGGGAGGCAGCAGUAGGGAAUUUUCGGCAAUGGGGGAAACCCUGACCGAGCAACGCCGCGUGAAUGAUGAAGUAUUUCGGUAUGUAAAAUUCUUUUGUAGAGGACGAACUGCACUAUCAGGAAAUGGGUAGUGAAUGACGGUACUUUACGAAUAAGCUCCGGCUAACUACGUGCCAGCAGCCGCGGUAAUACGUAGGGAGCAAGCGUUAUCCGGAAUUAUUGGGCGUAAAGGGUGCGUANGCGGUAUGUUAAGUCUGAGGUAAAAGUGCGGGGCUCAACCCCGUGAUGCCUUGGAUACCGGCAAACUAGAGUGUGGUAGAGGCAAGUGGAACUCCAUGUGUAGAGGUAAAAUUCGUAAAUAUAUGGAAGAACACAGUGGCGAAGGCGGCUUGCUGGGCCAUUACUGACGCUGAGGCACGAAAGCGUGGGGAGCAAACAGGAUUAGAUACCCUGGUAGUCCACGCCGUANACGAUGAGUACUAAGUGUUGGUGUAAAUCAGUGCUGAAGUUAACGCAUUAAGUACUCCGCCUGAGUAGUACGUACGCAAGUAUGAAACUCAAAGGAAUUGACGGGAGCUCGCACAAGCGGUGGAGCAUGUUGUUUAAUUCGAGGAUACGCGAAGAACCUUACCAGGUCUUGACAUCCGGUGCAAAACUAUGGAGACAUAGCGGAGGUUAACAUCGAGACAGGUGGUGCAUGGUUGUCGUCAGCUCGUGUCGUGAGAUGUUGGGUUAAGUCCCGCAACGAGCGCAACCCUCGUCGUUAGUUACCAUCAUUAAGUUGGGGACUCUAGCGAUACUGCCAGUGAUAAACUGGAGGAAGGUGGGGAUGACGUCAAAUCAUCGUGCCCUUUAUGGCCUGGGCUACAAACGUGCUACAAUGGUUGCUACAGAGAGAAGCGAAGCUGCGAAGUGGAGCAAAACUCACACAAGCAAUCUCAGUUCGGAUUGAAGUCUGCAACUCGACUUCAUGAAGUUGGAAUCGCUAGUAAUCGCGAAUCAGAACGUCGCGGUGAAUACGUUCUCGGGCUUUGUACACACCGCCCGUC